rnacentral:rRNA from 1 species
UACGUAGGGGGCAAGCGUUGUCCGGAAUCAUUGGGCGUAAAGCGCGUGUAGGCGGCUCGAUAAGUCCGCUCUGAAAGCCCGGGGCUCAACCCCGGGAGGCGGGCGGAAACUGUCGGGCUAGAGUCCGGAAGAGGCGAGUGGAAUUCCCGGUGUAGCGGUGAAAUGCGCAGAUAUCGGGGAGGAACACCAAUGGCGAAGGCAGCUCGCUGGGACGUGACUGACGCUGAGACGCGAAAGCGGUGGGGAGCAAACAGG